AAAAGAAGCGGACGCCGCCAAAAUGUUGAAUUCUUCACCACCACCUGACACCCUUUAGAGUUGUCCUCAAAUGUUAACACACAAGUGUUGAGACACAAUGACCACAACAUGCAACUCAUUCACCAACCUACUACAUGAACAGUUCCUGCUUUACACUCAAAUUACCGUUCUAAAACACACCUUUUUUAAAUCCAUUCCCGGCUUUUGACACAAUUUUCAUGCAGAAAGUAUCUUAUUUUACAAGGAACACACUGCCAUUCAAAUAUGACUCAUCAAACAGCUGUCACAGUUUCAGGAUUGGCACUCAGAGCGUUAGCAUGAAAGGGCAACAGGUGUGCGGUUCCGUUUUGGACCAAUGGAAGCCAACAUUGGGAACGGAGGCAGAGCCAGACGAGUGAGAGGAGGAGGAGGAGGAGCAGGACGAGGAAGGCCAAGGACCCUGAUCUCUGAUGAGAUCUGACACACUUUGGUUGAUCAUGUGGUCAACCGUGGUCUAACAAUGAGGGGGGCUGGGCAAAGAGUACAGCCACAUUAGAGCAGGGACACUGUAGCAUCCAUCAUCCGGACUAUCCGGAAUGAGAAAAAGUAAGAAAUCUACUCUCACUAUAGAAAAUUGGAGUACAGCCUAUUACUACAGUACCCCGUAUUUUGAAUACAAGGAUGUAGAUGGAGAUUGAUGAUCCACUGCUGUUAUUAUUAUUAUUAAAAGAUUUGUUUUUUUGUGAUGAUCAGAGUUUUUAUUUCUUUUUAAAAUCGGACCAAAAUGAAGCAUCCCUGGCAUCCCCCACCCCUUCCCACCGGGCCGCGGUAAAAUCCCCAGGGGUUGACCGUCCCGCAGCCACAUUAAGAAAGGUGGCUGCAGAGGAGCACCGGUUCAUCCUCAUUGAUGAGGUUGGGUUCAGCGUCACAAAAAGACGAAAGAGGGGAAGGAAUGUCAUCGGCCCGUGUUCAGCUGGUUCUUCUAAAUGUCUGUUCAUAUAACUUAAACAACUAAACUUUUUCUUUUAUAUAUAAAUGAUAUUUGUGAUAUUUCUAAGUUGUUACAGUUUGUUUUAUUUGCUGAUGAUACUAACUUUUUAAUAUUCUGGGGAUAAUCUGAAAACCUUAACUAAAAGUAUUGAAAUGGAAAUGAUAAAACUCAAAAUGUGGUUUGACUACAAUAAACUGUCUUUGAAUCUAACAAAAACAAAGUUUAUGGUAUUUGGUAAUAAAAACAAAACAGAAGUCACUUUGUCCAUUGACAACGUAAACAUAGAACAGGUGUCUGAAUUUAAAUUUUUAGGGGUUAUGUUGGACGACAAAUUAACAUGGAAAUCUCAUAUAUUUUAUGUAAAAAAUAAAGUAGCCAAGAGCCUUUUUGUUCUGAACAAAUCUAAAUAUGUUUUACCAUGUCAUAUUAUGCACAUGUUAUAUUGCUCUUUGGUUUUACCUUAUUUUACAUAUUGUAUUGAAUUGUGGGGAAAUACAUAUGAAACUAAUAUAAUGCCCUUAAUUCUACUACAGAAGAGAGCUAUUCGAAUUAUUCACAAAGCUAAUUUUAGAGAUCAAACAAAUGAACUUUUUAUUAAGUCAGGCUUAUUAAAACUUAAAAAUUUAAUUGAAUUGCAGACCUUAUUAGUUAUGUUUAAAGCCAGAAACAGAGAUUUGCCAGAAGACCUACAAAAGCUUUUUAUUUUUACCACAGGAGAAGAAAAUCAUAGGAGAAAAUUUGAUUUCAAACAACAGAUUGCUCGAACAACAUUAAAGCAAAAGUGUUUGUCUAUAGCAGGGGUAAAAAUGUGGAAUUCCCAGGAGAAUCAGUUAAAAAGUUGUCAAAAUAUGAUUUAAUUUAAACGGAUGUAUAAAGCCAAACAAAUUAGUUUGUACAAACUUGACUGUUGAAUGGAAUGUUUGGAAUGUAUGUAUUAAAUGAAUGGAAU